rnacentral:rRNA from 1 species
CCUACGGGAGGCAGCAGUCGAGAAUCAUUCACAAUGGGGGAAACCCUGAUGGUGCGACGCCGCGUGGGGGAAUGAAGGUCUUCGGAUUGUAAACCCCUGUCAUGUGGGAGCAAAUUAAAAAGAUAGUACCACAAGAGGAAGAGACGGCUAACUCUGUGCCAGCAGCCGCGGUAAUACAGAGGUCUCAAGCGUUGUUCGGAAUCACUGGGCGUAAAGCGUGCGUAGGCUGUUUCGUAAGUCGUGUGUGAAAGGCGCGGGCUCAACCCGCGGACGGCACAUGAUACUGCGAGACUAGAGUAAGGGAGGGGGAACCGGAAUUCUCGGUGGAGCAGUGAAAUGCGUAGAUAUCGAGAGGAACACUCGUGGCGAGGGCGGGUUCCUGGACAUUAACUGACGCUGAGGCACGAAGGCCAGGGGAGCGAAAGGGAUUAGAGACCCGAGUAGUC